rnacentral:rRNA from 1 species
ACGAACGCUGGCGGCAUGCCUAACACAUGCAAGUCGCACGAGACCUUCGGGUCUAGUGGCGCACGGGUGCGUAACGCGUGGGAACCUGCCUUUAGGUUCGGAAUAACUCAGAGAAAUUUGAGCUAAUACCGGAUGAUGUUUUCGGACCAAAGAUUUAUCGCCUUUAGAUGGGCCCGCGUUGGAUUAGCUAGUUGGUGGGGUAAAGGCCUACCAAGGCGACGAUCCAUAGCUGGUCUGAGAGGAUGAUCAGCCACACUGGGACUGAGACACGGCCCAGACUCCUACGGGAGGCAGCAGUGGGGAAUAUUGGACAAUGGGCGAAAGCCUGAUCCAGCAAUGCCGCGUGAGUGAUGAAGGCCUUAGGGUUGUAAAGCUCUUUUACCCGAGAUGAUAAUGACAGUAUCGGGAGAAUAAGCUCCGGCUAACUCCGUG